rnacentral:rRNA from 1 species
ACGACUCUCGGCAACGGAUAUCUUGGCUCUCGCAUCGAUGAAGAACGUAGCGAAAUGCGAUACUUGGUGUGAAUUGCAGAAUCCCGUGAACCAUCGAGUCUUUGAACGCAAGUUGCGCCCUAAGCCUUCUGGCCGAGGGCACGUCUGCCUGGGUGUCACAAAU